GAUGAAGAACGUAGCGAAAUGCGAUACGUAAUGCGAAUUGCAGAAUUCAGUGAGUCAUCGAAUCUUUGAACGCACAUUGCGCCCGCCAGUAUCCUGGCGGGCAUGCCUGUCCGAGCGUCAUUUCACCCCUCAGGCCCUGCCUGGCGUUGGGGACCUGCUAUCGCAGCCCCCGAAAGACAGCGGCGGUCCUGUCCCGGCCCUGAGCGUAGUACCAUACGCCGCUUCGGGCGCCGAGCAGGCCCUGCCACAAGCUCCAACUCCACUGAGUUGACCUCGGAUCAGGUAGGAAUACCCGCUGAACUUAAGCAUAUCAAUAAGCGGAGGA
rnacentral:misc_RNA from 1 species